ACCGUUUUACAGCACGUUCCACGACUCUUGUUUUGCUCCGGUGGCCCCCCGAUAGAGUAACCAUUUGUUGCAAGGGUUUGCAAAGUUGAUUUCAUUAUUCGCCCUCGCCGACGCGUUCUUCGGUAUAUUUUACACCGCAACGACAUCGAUCCCCGCGGGACUUAACAACGAACGACGAAAGUACAAAACUCCAAACUCGUUCUCAAAUUUUUGGCGUCCUUGAAUAACACGCAACAAAAUUUCUCGAUAUCGAUCACUAAAAAAACAAUAAAUCAUCGUCGCGGAGAGGGCCGAAAAAGAUUGUCACGAUGGAAAUAAGAAAAGAAAAUACAAAACCACCAUAAAAGCAAGUAAAAUAGUUUAUACCUCUUUCCGCGCGGAGAGAGAUUAAGAUUAAUGUAGCCUAUAUUGGUACUUGAAUACACGCCUCUGAUCGCACCAGCUCAGAAUCUUUUUAAUAGCAAGAGACAUCGUAAUAGACGUUAAAUAUUUUGCAGACUCGCGAUGACUGCAGCACUUUGGUGUUAAUAGCCCCAUACGAUGAUGAAUAAACCAAGAAGAUCUGUUGACUGCUCAGUGUA